ACUCCGUACGGGAGGCAGCAGGUGGGGAAUAUUGCACAAUGGGGGAAACCCUGAUGCAGCCAUGGCCGCGUGUGUGAAGAAGGCCUUCGGUUGUAAAGCACUUUCAGUAGGGAGGAAGGUAGUGUAGUUAACACCUGCACUAUUGACGUUACCUACAGAAGAAGCACCGGCUAACUCCGUGCCAGCAGCCGCGGUAAUACGGAGGGUGCGAGCGUUAAUCGGAAUUACUGGGCGUAAAGCGCAUGCAGGCGGCCUGUUAAGUCAGAUGUGAAAGCCCGGGGCUUAACCUCGGAAUUGCAUUUGAAACUGGCAGGCUAGAGUCUUGUAGAGGGGGGUAGAAUUUCAGGUGUAGCGGUGAAAUGCGUAGAGAUCUGAAGGAAUACCAGUGGCGAAGGCGGCCCCCUGGACAAAGACUAGACGCUCAGAUGCGAAAGCGUGGGGAGCAAACAGGAUUAGAUACCCUGGUAGCACAGAG
rnacentral:rRNA from 1 species